UGGGAAAUGGUUUAGGGCUGUUGAGCCAAAGAAUCCGCACGCUGGGACAACUAGCAAGCUAAAGUUAGCUAGUGAGUCACAGAAAUGUCCUUCCGAAGCCCCCUGUCCCCAGCAGGAAAGACAAGGAAAAGUGUUGGCUUAAGAUCUGCCAACUAGGCUCGGUGGGUGACAGGUAACCGUGUUUCCACCAAGCUGUUCCAGACCUGGAGUGGCACUCUGGAACUAGAGGCUUGUAGACUUGAAGUAGUGUGAUGUGGUCCAGAUCUGACACCCCUAUUAGAUCAAGCAUAGCCCUCAUAGCCGCAGUCGUCUGCUCCUUUCACCUGUUACACAGGCCGCAACAGGUGAUACAGCAGUUCAGCUGCAGCCACAGCAGUCCUCUGCAGUCCUCUGCUGCACCAGGUCCUACUACACUGGCCGUGAAGGGAGAAACUUUUAUUACAUUAACACACACAUUAACUCAGACCAACAGAUGUGCACACACAAACAUGUUGUUGAGCUAUAUACUUACUGCCACUUUGUGCAUCUCUCUUUCAGAUUUACCAUGCACUCCACCAAAGCCCGACAGCCUCACCCAGACGUGCCUAUCAAGACUGGCAAAGCAGAGAUGGGUGAAUGACAAGGAAAAAUAAAACAUAACAUGCACACACACACACACUCUCGCUGUCACACACACACACACAUUAUCCCCAAUGUAAAUAAUUUGUAAUUACUUGUUUAUUUUAUGUAUGCUCCAUUUUAUUUUAGGAUUGGAGAUAUCUACUCCUACAUUAUCACAUCUACAUAAUGAAUCUAAAUAGCUAUCAAAUCAAAGUGUGAUUGAUAAUAUUGUAAAAGAGUAUUGCUUAAUGUGUACAGUUUGAGGGAAUUCUGUGUGCUUUUUCUGUUGAAAAACAUUACUCCCUCUCAUCUCUCUCUCUCCCUCACAUACAGCAUAUACAAGGUUCCCAGGAGUGGCAGGCAGAUAGUUUAUUAUCCUGCAAAAGUGUUUUUAAUGUACUAAGGCCCCUAGCUACCCAUCACAUUGCUCUGGCCAAACUGAUGUUUGUUCUCCACAAUGAAUGUAUGUAGCAAUUUCAUUUCAGGGUGAGUCAUCAGGCAACCAAGGCCAAGGAAUGGAGAGAGAUGACCUGGAGGGAGUUCCAGACCUCAGCUUUUUAUGAAGCAGAAAAGCAGAGAUGGGUGGCUGACAAGGAAAAAAUAAAACAACCUGCACACACUCUCUCUCUCUCUCUCUCUCACACACACACACACACACACACACAGUCUGUAAAUAUAUAAAGACAUUGUAAGAUAUCUAGGCCUCUAACACUCAAGUGCAGUUAAAAAAAGGUUUAUCAUAAAAAUGAUCAUUAAUAACGGACACAAUUAUAUAAUUACUACAUAGAAUAAUAAUACAUGUGACCAAUAGUUACUGUAUUGUGAUUGUUUAAGUGUUAUAAUUAGUCAACAAGUAGUGCCCCAAGGGGGGAUCGAACCACAUCCCAAAAGCAGCAGAAAAGGUCAAAUAAGGUCACAAGGUCACAAAACUGUUCAUUGUGGCUAUACAAGUCUGGCAACAACGUGGUGCCUUGUCGUCACUAGUUACCACAAACACAAAGUCAUAUAAUCCCAACUAUUUAUACAAUCUAUCUUCUCAAAAUGUGAUUUUAAACCUAAUUCUAACCUUAAAUUAAGACCAAAAAAACACUUUUUUCUCUCCAUGCAUUUUUAGGAUACAGUUUUGACAUUGUGGCUGUGGUAUCUAGUGGAAACCGUUGCACCUGUUCACAUGCAUAUCCGUUCUCUCAUUGGCUAGAAUGUUCCCACCUGAUCUUGCCUUCUCCAACUGCCUUCCAUUUUUGAAGACAUGCGACAUGUUCGAGUGUAUCGUUGGUCACCGCCUUUCAAAACGUGUUGUGUUAUGUGCAUAAAAAUAGCCUGACUUGCUCCCACAUGUCGACUACAUGGACUUUACAGAAAUCAUGUGAUCAAAGGUAAUGAAGUUGACUGCAAGUUUCUGCAGCUGCUCUUCACCAACAUCCUUCUGCAGCCUUGCCUGCAUUGUGGGAGGCACUAUUGUAAACCAAUCAAUUUGGUGUUUUUGUUUGAUCCAUGUGAAUGGGACCAAAGACAUGACUGAAACAGGAACCAACUUCUUGUAUACAGUGGAUAACCUAUAUACAAAUUAAUGUGAUAUUUGAUACUCUCAGUAAAUAAUUGAACAAUGAACACACAUUUCAGUUUGUGAGCGUGUUAUAUGGGUAUUGGAGUCAUGUUAUUUCGACAUUAUAGAGAAAAACUUUGAUAAACAAUGACAACACUGGGAUGUUGGUCUGAGCAUUGCUGUUAGAAAAUCACUGCCCAACUUUUGGCCAUCGAAGAUACACCUCCCCCCACUUCACUCCUCGACUUUUGUUUACAGUCGGUAGCUUUCGCUUACAACUCAAACACACCCAUUGGUAGUGUUUGAAAGCAUCAAAACGACUGCAGGUGACUGACUCGGAUGGGGCCACAGUGUCUCCUGUCCCCUCCUGUCUCAGCCUCCAGUAUUUAUGCUGCAGUAGUUUGUGUCGGGGGGCUAGGGUCAGUU